UAAGAGUCUUUUUUUUUUGUUGAAAAUAUUAUCUAUUUAAAAAGAGAGUAGGAAGGAAAUUAUCUUUAUUUCUGGAGUUAGAAUCGUGGCUAAUUUAGAGUAUAGUUCUAACUGAUAUAAUUGAGUCUUUUCCUGCAGUUUUAACUAUAGCAGUUUGAUUUAAAUUCAUCAAAUUUAAUUAUCAUAUUUGAAUCUGCAUAUUGUUGAGCCAAACAUAUCUUAAAUGUAAGCUAACACCACGGUCAU
rnacentral:lncRNA from 1 species